rnacentral:lncRNA from 1 species
CUUUCCUGCCUGCACCGGGGAAAUGCAUACCUUGUUCAGAAAACUAGGGGACAGGUGAGAAAUGACUGGAACUCAGCUUUGGAUUCAUUUCUUCAGUGGCAGUAGAUGGAAAACUAUGGUCUACCUGGAGGGAAUGAGGGCCUGAAAUGGAGUGACCAUGGGAACAUGGAAGCUUCAGGACCAUCUCAAUUUGACAUGGAAGUGCUUUGCUGGAGUUCAUACUCUCCAGCAGGCUUUGUUCUUCUGCUACCCAGAGGCCCCCCUCCAGCUCCCACCUCUUAUCUAGCAUCCAGCCUUCUAUUUGCAGUUAUUCCCAGGGAAUCUCCUGCAUGCUGGGUGUGACCACCCACACUUGUCAUCUCUUGGAACAACAUCCCCAGGAGAAUGUGAGCUCUGUGAAAACAAGGACCUCAUCUGUCUUAUUCAUCACUGGAACUCCAGCAUCCAGAAUAGUCCCUGGCACUGAUGAGGCAUUCAGUAAAUAUUAGUUGAAUGAAAGAAAUAAAAACACCCAUAGAUCAGGAUGUAUGACCAAGGAUAUUUAUUGCAGCAGUAUUAUGGUGGCAAAAAUCCAGAAUCAAAGAGAAUGUCCAUUAGUGAGGGGCUGAUUAGGACCUACACCACUACUGGGCUAAGCGGUGUGGCACAGUGGUUAAUGGUAUGGCUUUAGUGUCGGAUGCCUGGGCUGUAAUCCAUUUCUGUGUUCAUCUUAAACAUACAAUGAAUGGUCCUGGGGAAGAUGUUUAGCCCCUGUGUCUUAGUUUUCUCAUCUAUAAAACGAGGACAAUAAUGACACCAAUCUCAUAAGGUUUUGUGAGACUCAAAUGAAAUGAUAUAGGUAACAUGUGGGAACAGUGCCUGGCACAUUGUAACUCAAUAAAUAGUAGUUAUUAUUACUUCAUGAAAUAGUAAAGAGAAUGACUUAAAAAUCACUUGGAGGCAUUUUCAUGGUGCAUAAGUUAGUGGCCAACACACAAUGGUAAAGCACAUGUAUUGCAUGUUGCUUUUGUAAAUCUGACA